CCGCACCGACAACAACUCUUGCGCCAACAACAACUCCCAUGCCGACAACAACUUCGGCACCUACAACAACUCCGGCGGCGACAACUGCAGCGCCGACAACGGCGACAAUUCCGGCAACCACAACAACUAUUGAAGCUCCCGCUACAGUUGUGAUCCUUGCAACAAACUUGAAUGAACCCUUUGUAGAAGAACUCACCGAUAAAAACAGCCCGCAAUUCAUUAAGCUUCAGGGAAGAGUCGUAGCUGUGUAUGAUGACAUCUACAGAGAAGAAUAUGCCGAUCUUUACAAAAGCUCUUUUGUGAUUGAGUUCAGCCGAGCUACCACCACAACACGAGCGGGUCCGACUACUGCAAGGGUUGGGAUUGUGUUCGCUCAAACUAAUUCGACUCAAGAAAUCCCAAAGGCCGCAGAUGUUGCAAAAACCUUAGUAGAUGCUGUGUCUAAGCCGAACAGUACCUUCAACAUCACUGUUGAUGCCACGUCCGUCACUGUACUUCAAACAACUACAUUAAAUUCGACAACUGCAUCCCCCACCAUUGCUGCAACUACAGCUGCCAGUGCUGCAACUACAGCUGCCAGUGUUGCAACU